GACGAACGCUGGCGGCGUGCUUAACACAUGCAAGUCGAACGGAAAGGCCCUGCUUGCAGGGUACUCGAGUGGCGAACGGGUGAGUAACACGUGGGUGAUCUGCCCUGCACUUCGGGAUAAGCCUGGGAAACUGGGUCUAAUACCGGAGAGGAGCCAUUUUUAGUGUGAUGGUUGGAAAGUUUUUUCGGUGUAGGAUGAGCUCGCGGCCUAUCAGCUUGUUGGUGGGGUAAUGGCCUACCAAGGCGGCGACGGGUAGCCGGCCUGAGAGGGUGGACGGCCACAUUGGGACUGAGAUACGGCCCAGACUCCUACGGGAGGCAGCAGUGGGGAAUAUUGCACAAUGGGCGCAAGCCUGAUGCAGCGACGCCGCGUGGGGGAUGACGGCCUUCGGGUUGUAAACUCCUUUCGCUAGGGACGAAGCUUUUUGUGACGGUACCUAGAUAAGAAGCACCGGCUAACUACGUG
rnacentral:rRNA from 1 species